AGAGUUUGAUCAUGGCUCAGGACGAACGCUGGCGGCGUGCCUAACACAUGCAAGUCGAGCGGGGAUGAGCUGGUCAGCUUGCUGAUUGGCUUAUCCUAGCGGCGGACGGGUGAGUAACGCGUGAGCAACCAACCUUGUACUGGGGGAUAACAGCUGGAAACAGCUGCUAAUACCGCAUAAGACUACGGCACCGCAUGGUGCUGUAGUAAAAGGUGCCGGAAGGCGCCGGUACAAGACGGGCUCGCGUCCCAUUAGCUAGUUGGUGGGGUAACGGCCUACCAAGGCGACGAUGGGUAGCCGGCCUGAGAGGGUGUACGGCCACACUGGGACUGAGACACGGCCCAGACUCCUACGGGAGGCAGCAGUGGGGGAUAUUGCGCAAUGGGGGAAACCCUGACGCAGCGACGCCGCGUGAGCGAGGAAGGCCUUCGGGUCGUAAAGCUCUGUCCCUGGGGACGAAUUAAGUGACGGUACCUGGGGAGGAAGCCCCGGCUAACUACGUGCCAGCAGCCGCGGUAAUACGUAGGGGGCGAGCGUUGUCCGGAGUUACUGGGCGUAAAGGGUGCGUAGGCGGCCCAUUAAGUCAGGUGUGAAAAACCCUGGCUCAACCGGGGUAUUGCACUUGAAACUGGUGGGCUUGAGUGCAGGAGAGGGAAGCGGAAUUCCUGGUGUAGCGGUGAAAUGCGUAGAUAUCAGGAGGAACACCAGUGGCGAAGGCGGCUUCCUGGCCUGUAACUGACGCUGAGGCACGAGAGCGUGGGGAGCAACAGGAUUAGAUACCCUGGUAGUCCACGCUGUAAACGAUGGAUACUAGGUGUAGGGGGCGAUUUAGCCUUCUGUGCCGAAGUUAACGCAAUAAGUAUCCCGCCUGGGGAGUACGGCCGCAAGGUUGAAACUCAAAUGAAUUGACGG
rnacentral:rRNA from 1 species